CCUGGUUGGCUCAGUCAGAACAGCAUACAACUCUUGAUCUGGUGGUUUUAAGUUUGGGACCCAUGCUAGACG
rnacentral:tRNA from 1 species